rnacentral:rRNA from 1 species
UACAGAGGUGGCAAGCGUUGUUCGGAAUUACUGGGCGUAAAGGGCGCGUAGGCGGCCCACUAAGUCAGACGUGAAAUCCCCCGGCUUAACCUGGGAACUGCGUCUGAUACUGGAGGGCUUGAGUAUGGGAGAGGGAUGUAGAAUUCCAGGUGUAGCGGUGAAAUGCGUAGAUAUCUGGAGGAACACCGGUGGCGAAGGCGGCAUCCUGGACCAACACUGACACUGAGGAGCGAAAGCCAGGGGAGCAAACGGG